rnacentral:rRNA from 1 species
AGAGUUUGAUCCUGGCUCAGAUUGAACGCUGGCGGCAGGCCUAACACAUGCAAGUCGAGCGGAUGAAGAGGGCUUGCUCUCUGAUUCAGCGGCGGACGGGGGAGUAAUGCCUAGGAAUCUGCCUGAUAGUGGUGGACAACGUUUCGAAAGGAACGCUAAUACCGCAUACGUCCUACGGGAGAAAGCAGGGGACCUUCGGGCCUUGCGCUAUCAGAUGAGCCUAGGUCGGAUUAGCUAGUUGGUGAGGUAACGGCUCACCAAGGCGACGAUCCGUAACUGGUCUGAGAGGAUGAUCAGUCACACUGGAACUGAGACACGGUCCAGACUCCUACGGGAGGCAGCAGUGGGGAAUAUUGGACAAUGGGCGAAAGCCUGAUCCAGCCAUGCCGCGUGUGUGAAGAAGGUCUUCGGAUUGUAAAGCACUUUAAGUUGGGACGAUGGGCANNNNNNNNNNNNNNNAAUGACGGUAGUGUAUGAAUAAGCAUCGGCUAACUCCGUGCCAGCAGCCGCGGUAAUACGGAGGAUGCAAGCGUUAUCCGGAUUCAUUGGGUUUAAAGGGUGCGUAGGCGGCUCUUUAAGUCAGUGGUGAAAUCCUGCCGCUUAACGGUAGAAUUGCCAUUGAUACUGAAGGGCUUGAGUACAGUUGAGGUAGGCGGAAUGUGUAGUGUAGCGGUGAAAUGCUUAGAUAUUACACAGAACACCGAUUGCGAAGGCAGCUUACCAAACUGUUACUGACGCUGAUGCACGAAAGCGUGGGGAGCGAACAGGAUUAGAUACCCUGGUAGUCCACGCCGUAAACGAUGCUCACUCGCUGUAUGCGAUACACAGUAUGCGGCCAAGCGAAAGCAUUAAGUGAGCCACCUGGGGAGUACGAUCGCAAGGUUGAAACUCAAAGGAAUUGACGGGGGCCCGCACAAGCGGAGGAACAUGUGGUUUAAUUCGAUGAUACGCGAGGAACCUUACCUGGGCUUAAAUGUAGGGCGACAGCUUGUGAAAGCAGGCUUUCUUCGGACGACCUACAAGGUGCUGCAUGGUUGUCGUCAGCUCGUGCCGUGAGGUGUCGGGUUAAGUCCCAUAACGAGCGCAACCCUUAUCGUUAGUUGCCAGCGGGUCAAGCCGGGGACUCUAGCGAGACUGCCACCGUAAGGUGUGAGGAAGGUGGGGAUGACGUCAAAUCAGCACGGCCCUUAUGUCCAGGGCUACACACGUGUUACAAUGGCCGAUACAAAGGGCAGCCACUCCGCGAGGAGAUGCUAAUCUCUAAAGUCGG